GCAGUGAAGCAUUAAAACGUCACCUGAUGUAGGCCGUGCCCGGUGCUUAUUUGUUACUUUUGGAAAUACAAAUUGCACUAGUCCCGGCCUGCAGUGAGUGUCAAAGGCAGCUAUCUUCACUG
rnacentral:precursor_RNA from 15 species